rnacentral:rRNA from 1 species
AUUGAACGCUGGCGGCAUGCUUUACACAUGCAAGUCGAACGGCAGCACAGGGAGCUUGCUCCCGGGUGGCGAGUGGCGCACGGGUGAGUAAUACAUCGGAACGUGUCCUGUUGUGGGGGAUAACUGCUCGAAAGGGUGGCUAAUACCGCAUGAGACCUGAGGGUGAAAGCGGGGGAUCGCAAGACCUCGCGCAAUUGGAGCGGCCGAUGCCCGAUUAGCUAGUUGGUGAGGUAAAGGCUCACCAAGGCGACGAUCGGUAGCUGGUCUGAGAGGACGACCAGCCACACUGGGACUGAGACACGGCCCAGACUCCUACGGGAGGCAGCAGUGGGGAAUUUUGGACAAUGGGGGCAACCCUGAUCCAGCCAUGCCGCGUGCAGGAUGAAGGCCUUCGGGUUGUAAACUGCUUUUGUCAGGGACGAAAAGGACCGUGUUAAUACCAUGGUCUGCUGACGGUACCUGAAGAAUAAGCACCGGCUAACUACGUG